AGAUGAUGGAUUUUCAAUGGCUGCCAUUUUUUUGCUGUCACUGUUUGUUAGUUGAAAGCAACAAAGGAGAGAAAGAGAAGAAAUAGAUAUUUAGAUAAAAACCAAAGAAAGAGAAUAAAUAGGGAUUUCAAACAUUAUUGGGCCCUAAUAACACACAAGAAAUCGGAUUUCAAAAACUAUUAUUGAAAGCGCAUGAUACACGAUUCGAUCUCACCAUAUACAACCAAAACCAAAUUU
rnacentral:lncRNA from 1 species